rnacentral:tRNA from 1 species
GAGGGUGGAGCUCAGUGGCAGAGCGUGUGCUUAGCAUGCACGAGGCCCUGGGUUCAAUCCCUGGUACCUCCA